UUGCAGUUAAUUUUUCUCAGUGUCAGUUUCCAGGACGACAUUCCUCCGUUACAUAACUUAGUAUCGGCACAAAAAUGUUCUUGAUACCCAUAGUUUUGGAAAGUGUGAGUGAAUGGAUGGUCAUACAGGGACGAUCCAAUGGCCUGGUUGAUUUCUAUAGAACCUGGUUGGAAUACAAAAAUUGGUUUGGUUUGGGUCCUUCGAUUCAGAAUUUUGGAUAGGAAAUUAUCUCAUUCAAGAACUUACAACAGCAGAAUACAACACGCUACGAGUUGAAUUCUUAGUUGAUUUGACAUUAUAUUCCGCCCAAUACUCAUGGUUCGUGGUAGACAGAGAGGGAAAAUACUAUCGAGCACAAUUCAGUAACUUUACAGGAAAUACAUGUUAGCAUGUUAAUAGCAGCCCAAGUCAUCAACAUUAUUCCAUACCUUAUAUAAAUUUGAUACAUGAGCUAGUAUUCUAAUGAAAUCAAUAUUUGAGCAUAUUUGUUUAUUAUAUUGUUGGUAUAAAGUUGAGGUACUUG